UACGUAGGGGGCAAGCGUUGUCCGGAUUUAUUGGGCGUAAAGAGCGUGUAGGCGGCCAUACAGGUCAGCUGUGAAAACUCGAGGCUCAACCUCGAGACGUCGGUUGAAACCGUAUGGCUAGAGUCCGGAAGAGGAGAGUGGAAUUCCCGGUGCAGCGGUGAAAUGCGCAGAUAUCAGGAGGAACACCGAUGGCGAAGGCAGAUCUCUGGGCCGUAACUGACGCUGAGGAGCGAAAGCGUGGGGAGCGAACAGG
rnacentral:rRNA from 1 species